AUUGAACGCUGGCGGCAGGCCUAACACAUGCAAGUCGAGCGGGGUUUUCGGACCUAGCGGCGGACGGGUGAGUAAUGCGUAGGAAGCUACCCGAUAGAGGGGGAUACCAGUUGGAAACGACUGUUAAUACCGCAUAAUGUCUACGGACCAAAGUGUGGGACCUUCGGGCCACAUGCUAUCGGAUGCGCCUACGUGGGAUUAGCUAGUUGGUGAGGUAAUGGCUCACCAAGGCGACGAUCUCUAGCUGGUUUGAGAGGAUGAUCAGCCACACUGGAACUGAGACACGGUCCAGACUCCUACGGGAGGCAGCAGUGGGGAAUAUUGGACAAUGGGCGAAAGCCUGAUCCAGCCAUGCCGCGUGUGUGAAGAAGGCCUUCGGGUCGUAAAGCACUUUAAGUUGGGAGGAAGGGUUGUAGAUUAAUACUCUGCAAUUUUGACGUUACCGACAGAACAAGCACCGGCUAACUCUGUGCCAGCCGCCGCCGUAAAAC
rnacentral:rRNA from 1 species